rnacentral:tRNA from 1 species
GGAAUGUGGCUCAGUGGUAGAGUGCUUGCCUAGCACGUGUGAGGCACUGGGUUCGAUCCUCAGCACCA